AAUUAACUUUGAUCUCUUGAC
rnacentral:sRNA from 1 species